UUCAAUGCCCAGGUUGUUAGU
rnacentral:siRNA from 1 species